rnacentral:rRNA from 1 species
UACGAAGGGGGCUAGCGUUGCUCGGAAUCACUGGGCGUAAAGGGUGCGUAGGCGGGUUUUUAAGUCAGAGGGGAAAUCCUGGAGCUCAACUCCAGAACUGCCUUUGAUACUGAAGAUCUUGAGUUCGGGAGAGGUGAGUGGAACUGCGAGUGUAGAGGUGAAAUUCGUAGAUAUUCGCAAGAACACCAGUGGCGAAGGCGGCUCACUGGCCCGAUACUGACGCUGAGGCACGAAAGCGUGGGGAGCAAACAGG